GACAUAGGAGAGAUGAGAGACUGAGUGAAAGAGAGGGGUGUUGUACAUACAUCUAUGGGCUCAUCAGAAGGUUUGGACAGUUCUAAAUAUAGGGCUGGACACCGAGACGUAUCUGACAUGGAGACUAUGGCGCAUGACGGCGUAGUCUACAUGGAAAGAUAGGAACUAGUCGAGGAUUAGGAGAAGUACUUGUAGUAGUAAGAGUAGAACUACUCUAGUCGUAUUCGAC
rnacentral:lncRNA from 1 species